rnacentral:misc_RNA from 1 species
UAUGCUUUUUCGGAGAUCAAAGGUACUAAUUACUAGAGCAAAUAAGUUUCACUCUUUUUCUGUAUUAACAAUUUCCGCUUUUUGAUAAGAUUCUAUCUUAUUAAAUGGAAGAUAGGUUUUUUUUUUUCCUUUCAUUUUUUUUCUGACAAGCUGAUUCAUCUGACUUCCCACAUCGACAUAUGAUUCUUAACUCUUUGUAAUACUCAGCUUAGUUUCUAAAACACUUAUAAACUAUACCUGUUUAUAACAUAUGCCUUAUAAUAUGUUCGUCAUGAUGCUGUCUGGUUGGAUGUUUGGCCAAUGUGAUGUAUUAUAACAGAUUUUGAAGCUAUUUUAGAUGGGAUCUCAAACCUGUUCUCUGGGAAAAUGAGUUUUAGGGACCGCCCUACCCUGUUUUAGUCACAGUGAAUGCCUAAAUGUUCAUAGUGUUGUUAAGCAGUAUGCAGUAUAUGUAGGCCUUCUCCAACUCAUGAAUUCGAUUCACAUGCAGGUUAGUUUUAGUGGAUGAUUAA